rnacentral:rRNA from 1 species
GGUUAAGCGACUAAGCGUACACGGUGGAUGCCCUGGCAGUCAGAGGCGAUGAAGGACGUGCUAAUCUGCGAUAAGCGUCGGUGAGGUGAUAUGAACCGUUAUAACCGGCGAUUUCCGAAUGGGGAAACCCAGUGUGUUUCGACACACUAUCAUUAACUGAAUCCAUAGGUUAAUGAGGCGAACCGGGGGAACUGAAACAUCUAAGUACCCCGAGGAAAAGAAAUCAACCGAGAUUCCCCCAGUAGCGGCGAGCGAACGGGGAGGAGCCCAGAGCCUGAAUCAGUGUGUGUGUUAGUGGAAGCGUCUGGAAAGGCGCGCGAUACAGGGUGACAGCCCCGUACACAAAAAUGCACAUAUUGUGAGCUCGAUGAGUAGGGCGGGACACGUGGUAUCCUGUCUGAAUAUGGGGGGACCAUCCUCCAAGGCUAAAUACUCCUGACUGACCGAUAGUGAACCAGUACCGUGAGGGAAAGGCGAAAAGAACCCCGGCGAGGGGAGUGAAAAAGAACCUGAAACCGUGUACGUACAAGCAGUGGGAGCCUCUUAAUGGGGUGACUGCGUACCUUUUGUAUAAUGGGUCAGCGACUUAUAUUCUGUAGCAAGGUUAACCGAAUAGGGGAGCCGAAGGGAAACCGAGUCUUAACUGGGCGUUAAGUUGCAGGGUAUAGACCCGAAACCCGGUGAUCUAGCCAUGGGCAGGUUGAAGGUUGGGUAACACUAACUGGAGGACCGAACCGACUAAUGUUGAAAAAUUAGCGGAUGACUUGUGGCUGGGGGUGAAAGGCCAAUCAAACCGGGAGAUAGCUGGUUCUCCCCGAAAGCUAUUUAGGUAGCGCCUCGUGAAUUCAUCUCCGGGGGUAGAGCACUGUUUCGGCAAGGGGGUCAUCCCGACUUACCAACCCGAUGCAAACUGCGAAUACCGGAGAAUGUUAUCACGGGAGACACACGGCGGGUGCUAACGUCCGUCGUGAAGAGGGAAACAACCCAGACCGCCAGCUAAGGUCCCAAAGUCAUGGUUAAGUGGGAAACGAUGUGGGAAGGCCCAGACAGCCAGGAUGUUGGCUUAGAAGCAGCCAUCAUUUAAAGAAAGCGUAAUAGCUCACUGGUCGAGUCGGCCUGCGCGGAAGAUGUAACGGGGCUAAACCAUGCACCGAAGCUGCGGCAGCGACGCUUAUGCGUUGUUGGGUAGGGGAGCGUUCUGUAAGCCUGUGAAGGUGUGCUGUGAGGCAUGCUGGAGGUAUCAGAAGUGCGAAUGCUGACAUAAGUAACGAUAAAGCGGGUGAAAAGCCCGCUCGCCGGAAGACCAAGGGUUCCUGUCCAACGUUAAUCGGGGCAGGGUGAGUCGACCCCUAAGGCGAGGCCGAAAGGCGUAGUCGAUGGGAAACAGGUUAAUAUUCCUGUACUUGGUGUUACUGCGAAGGGGGGACGGAGAAGGCUAUGUUGGCCGGGCGACGGUUGUCCCGGUUUAAGCGUGUAGGCUGGUUUUCCAGGCAAAUCCGGAAAACCAAGGCUGAGGCGUGAUGACGAGGCACUACGGUGCUGAAGC